rnacentral:tRNA from 1 species
GCAUCGGUGGUUCAGUGGUACAAUGCUCGCCUGCCACGCGGGCGGCCCGGUCGAUUCCCGGCCGAUGCA